UGGUAAUAUUUUUGGAGUUUCGCCAAGCGGAUUUUGGAAGCACAUUGGUCAUCGGCUUGAUACUUUGGCUCGUUUACGAUCUUUAGAGCCGAUUUUUACUACCUACCAAUUUGUACGUUUUUCGUCUCGUCCAUCAUUGUGAGGGAAACGCAUAGCUUUACCAUCGAUAUCAACCCGUAUAAGAAGGAGCCCUGCGCCCCAUUCAUCGCAGAGCCAUCACCGAUCAUCCCCUACAAGUGCGUCCCUGUCGUUCUCUGCGUGGCGUCACCAACCCCAAUUGUGGAACGGUAUUCUACAACGAAAGGUCAGCUGUUUAUUACUUGAACCUUCCCGACUACUUUGCAACGAACCAUCGAAUCCUGCAUCCACGUAGAGACACCCUUGCAAAUUUGUUCCCUUCCUCUCCUUACUUCCUUUCAGUUCCUUUGUUUUGUUGUAAUUCGUGUUUUAAUUUCAACAACUUAUCACUGAACACUGGUCACGUAAAGAAAAAAAAACGAUAAGUAAAAUAAAAACAUCGUUGUGCUGUUA